GAUGAAGAACGCAGUGAAAUGCGAUAAGUAAUGUGAAUUGCAGAAUCCAGUGAAUCAUCGAAUCUUUGAACGCACAUUGCGCCCGCCAGCAUUCUGGCGGGCAUGCCUGUUCGAGCGUCAUUUCAACCCUCGACCUCCCUUUGGGGAAGUCGGCGUUGGGGACCGGCAGCACACCGCCGGCCCUGAAAUGGAGUGGCGGCCCGUCCGCGGCGACCUCUGCGUAGUAAUCCAACUCGCACCGGAACCCCGACGCGGCCACGCCGUAAAACACCCAACUUCUGAACGUUGACCUCGAAUCAGGUAGGACUACCCGCUGAACUUAAGCAUAUCAAUAAGCGGAGGA
rnacentral:misc_RNA from 1 species